rnacentral:rRNA from 1 species
UCAAUCUGAGCCAGGAUCAAACUCUGGCGGCAGGCCUAACACAUGCAAGUCGAACGGUAACAUUUCUAGCUUGCUAGAAGAUGACGAGUGGCGGACGGGUGAGUAAUACUUAGGAAUAUGCCUUUGUGUGGGGGAUAACUAUUGGAAACGAUAGCUAAUACCGCAUAACGUCUUCGGACCAAAGGGGGCUUCGGCUCCCGCGCAAAGAGUAGCCUAAGCGAGAUUAGCUUGUUGGUGAGGUAAAGGCUCACCAAGGCGACGAUCUCUAGCUGUUCUGAGAGGAAGAUCAGCCACACUGGAACUGAGACACGGUCCAGACUCCUACGGGAGGCAGCAGUGGGGAAUAUUGCACAAUGGGGGAAACCCUGAUGCAGCCAUGCCGCGUGUGUGAAGAAGGCCUUCGGGUUGUAAAGCACUUUCAGUUGUGAGGAAAGGUUAACGGUUAAUACCCGUUAGCUGUGACGUUAGCAACAGAAGAAGGACCGGCUAACUCCGUGCCAGCAGCCGCGGUAAUACGGAGGGUCCGAGCGUUAAUCGGAAUUACUGGGCGUAAAGCGCACGCAGGCGGUUUGUUAAGCUAGAUGUGAAAGCCCUGGGCUCAACCUGGGAAUUGCAUUUAGAACUGGCAGGCUAGAGUUUUGGAGAGGGGAGUGGAAUUCCAGGUGUAGCGGUGAAAUGCGUAGAUAUCUGGAGGAACAUCAGUGGCGAAGGCGACUCCCUGGUCAGUAACUGACGCUCAUGUGCGAAAGUGUGGGUAGCGAACAGGAUUAGAUACCCUGGUAGUCCACACCGUAAACGCUGUCUACUAGCUGUUUGUGGAUUUAAUCCGUGAGUAGCGAAGCUAACGCGAUAAGUAGACCGCCUGGGGAGUACGGCCGCAAGGUUAAAACUCAAAUGAAUUGACGGGGGCCCGCACAAGCGGUGGAGCAUGUGGUUUAAUUCGAUGCAACGCGAAGAACCUUACCUACUCUUGACAUACUAGAAACUUUUCAGAGAUGAAUUGGUGCCUUCGGGAAUCUAGAUACAGGUGCUGCAUGGCUGUCGUCAGCUCGUGUCGUGAGAUGUUGGGUUAAGUCCC